ensembl:rRNA 5S_rRNA 5S ribosomal RNA
CUCUAUGGCCAUACCACUCUGAAUGACCCCAAUCUUAUCUGAUCUCAGAAGCUAAGCAGGGUUAGGUCUGGGGGCCUGCUUAAUACUUGGAUGAGAGA